GCCAGACUCCUACGGGAGGCAGCAGUGGGGAAUAUUGGGCAAUGGGCGCAAGCCUGACCCAGCAACGCCGCGUGAAGGAAGAAGGCUUUCGGGUUGUAAACUUCUUUUCUCAGGGACGAAGCAAGUGACGGUACCUGAGGAAUAAGCCACGGCUAACUACGUGCCAGCAGCCGCGGUAAUACGUAGGUGGCAAGCGUUAUCCGGAUUUACUGGGUGUAAAGGGCGUGUAGGCGGGAAAGCAAGUCAGAUGUGAAAACCAUGGGCUCAACCUGUGGCCUGCAUUUGAAACUGUUUUUCUUGAGUACUGGAGAGGCAGACGGAAUUCCUAGUGUAGCGGUGAAAUGCGUAGAUAUUAGGAGGAACACCAGUGGCGAAGGCGGGCUGCCGGACAGCAACUGACGCUGAGGCGCGAAAGCGUGGGGAGCAAACAGGAUUAGAUACCCGUGUAAC
rnacentral:rRNA from 1 species